GGAAAAUCUGCCGUAAAACUAUCCUAAACAGAGGAAAACAACAGAAGACUUAUUAAGAAAGGCGAGGAUGAAUCUAAUUCGAAGGAGGGAAGAAGAUGGCAUCGGAAGACCUCUUGGAAGAGAAGGUUUUCACCAAAUCCGCAUCGAUGUUGAAAGCUGCUUGAAUAACUUCAGGUGAUAGAGAUUUCCAUACACCAAUACUGCCGGCUAAGUGAGUGAAAACAGGAUUAGGUGUGCUGAUAAUGGAGAACCAUUCCAUUCCUUCCGGAUCUCCGAUCUUUGAUACUACAAAGAAUCUUGGUACUAUGAAUAGAUUUCCAGCUUCCACUCUUGUUUGGAGAACCUUCUUCCCGUCUACUCCUACAACUUCGGCUCUUCCACUACCUUUCACGAUGUAGGUCACUUGCAACGCCGAAUCGCAAGAGAAUCCAGGUGAACACAUAGCACUUCCAUCCAAUCGAACCAGAUCAGCUCCCAAUCCUACCUCCCCGACCAGCGGCAGAUUCUUUGUGUUUAGAACCACAACACGUCCUCCAUUCUUCACGUCCACAUCAAGCGGUGCCUCCUCG
rnacentral:misc_RNA from 1 species